UAGGGAAUCUUCCGCAAUGGGCGAAAGCCUGACGGAGCAACGCCGCGUGAGUGAAGAAGGUCUUCGGAUCGUAAAACUCUGUUAUUAGGGAAGAACAAAUGUGUAAGUAACUAUGCACGUCUUGACGGUACCUAACCAGAAAGCCACGGCUAACUACGUGCCAGCAGCCGCGGUAAUACGUAGGGGGCAAGCGUUAUCCGGAAUUAUUGGGCGUAAAGCGGGCGCAGGCGGUUUUUUAAGUCUGAUGUGAAAGCCCACGGCUCAACCAUGGAGGGUCAUUGGAAACUGGAAGACUUGAGUGCAGAAGAGGGAAGAGGAAGUCCAUGUGUAGCGGUGAAAUGCGCAGAGAAAUGGAGGAACACCAGUGGCGAAGGCGACUUUCUGGUCUGUAACUGACGCUGAUGUGCGAAAGCGGGGGGAUCAAACAGG
rnacentral:rRNA from 1 species